AGAGUUUGAUCAUGGCUCAGGAUGAACGCUAGCUACAGGCUUAACACAUGCAAGUCGAGGGGAAACGACAUCGAAAGCUUGCUUUUGAUGGGCGUCGACCGGCGCACGGGUGAGUAACGCGUAUCCAACCUGCCCACCACUUGGGGAUAACCUUGCGAAAGUAAGACUAAUACCCAAUGACGUCUCUAGAAGACAUCUGAAAGAGAUUAAAGAUUUAUCGGUGAUGGAUGGGGAUGCGUCUGAUUAGCUUGUUGGCGGGGUAACGGCCACCAAGGCUACGAUCAGUAGGGGUUCUGGAGAGGAAGGUCCCCCANAUUGGAACUGAGACACGGUCCAAACUCCUAACGGGAGGCA
rnacentral:rRNA from 1 species